rnacentral:rRNA from 1 species
GAUGAACGCUGGCGGCGUGCCUAAUACAUGCAAGUCGAGCGGUAACAGGCUCUCACAGUUUGCUUAAGUUCUGCCCUAGACGUAGUAAAUCCGGCAACGGACGAAUUACGGAUGACAGAUGACAAAACCACAACGAACGGCCGGCUAGCCGGGAAGGGUGGCGGAGUUUAUUAAAGCGAAGUGUGAGAGUGCUGACGAGCGGCGGACGGCUGAGUAACACGUAGGAACGACCCCGAAGUGAGGGAUAAGCACCAGAAAUGGUGUCUAAUACCGCAUAAUGCAGCGGCACCGCAAGGUGACAGUUGUUAAAGAUUUAUCGCUUGAAGAGGAGCUUGCGGC